rnacentral:rRNA from 1 species
GAUGAACGCUGGCGGCGUGCCUAAUACAUGCAAGUCGAGCUAACGGACGAGAAGCUUGCUUCUCUGAUGUUAGCGGCGGACGGGUGAGUAACACGUGGAUAACCUACCUAUAAGACUGGGAUAACUUCGGGAAACCGUAGCUAAUACCGGAUAAUAUUUUGAACCGCAUGGUUCAAAAGUGAAGGACGGUCUUGCUGUCACUUAUAGAUGGAUCCGCGCUGCAUUAGCUAGUUGGUAAGGUAACGGCUUACCAAGGCAACGAUGCAUAGCCGACCUGAGAGGGUGAUCGGCCACACUGGAACUGAGACACGGUCCAGACUCCUACGGGAGGCAGCAGUAGGGAAUCUUCCGCAAUGGGCGAAAGCCUGACGGAGCAACGCCUCGUGAGUGAUGAAGGUCUUCGGAUCGUAAAACUCUGUUAUUAGGGAAGAACAUAUGUGUAAGUAACUGUGCACAUCUUGACGGUACCUAAUCAGAAAGCCACGGCUAACUACGUG